GCAGAGGGUAGUAUAAGCCCAGACAGUUGGGUUUUCUCCUCUUCUGUGGGAUGCAAGUGCCUGAGUUAAGCUCUGAUCGUUGAGGCAUACACUUCAAAGAAGGUUUUAAAUUCACCAGCACAGAGUGAACUUAUGAAAUCCUAGCCUCCUCCUCCAAUACAAGGAGAUGCACUGUCCCUUUCUCUCUCUACCAGAGACCUCACUCUGUGGUCCCAGAUGUGCUGUAAUUUCCAGGUCCUGUAAGUAAUAAACCUUUCUAUGUUUUUUUUU